AACGAACGCUGGCGGCAUGCCUAACACAUGCAAGUCGAACGAGACCUUCGGGUCUAGUGGCGCACGGUUUCGUAACGCGUGGGAACCUGCCCUUAGGUUCGGAAUAACUCCCCGAAAGGGGUGCUAAUACCGGAUAAUGUCUUCGGACCAAAGAUUUAUCGCCUUUGGAUGGGCCCGCGUUGGAUUAGCUAGUUGGUAGGGUAAAAGCCUACCAAGGCGACGAUCCAUAGCUGGUCUGAGAGGAUGAUCAGCCACACUGGGACUGAGACACGGCCCAGACUCCUACGGGAGGCAGCAGUGGGGAAUAUUGGACAAUGGGCGAAAGCCUGAUCCAGCAAUGCCGCGUGAGUGAUGAAGGCCUUAGGGUUGUAAAGCUCUUUUACCCGGGAUGAUAAUGACAGUACCGGGAGAAUAAGCUCCGGCUAACUCCGUG
rnacentral:rRNA from 1 species